UACGGAGGGUGCAAGCGUUGUCCGGAUUUAUUGGGUUUAAAGGGUGCGUAGGUGGCUUUUUAAGUCUGGCGGUGAAAUGCCGGGGCUCAACCCCGUUGCAUGCCGCGGAUACUGGGAGGCUGGAGACGAGUAGAGGCAAGCGGAAUUCCGGGUGUAGCGGUGGAAUGCGUAGAGAUCCGGAAGAACACCGGAGGCGAAGGCGGCUUGCUGGGCUUGGUCUGACGCUGAGGCGCGAAAGCGUGGGGAGCGAACAGG
rnacentral:rRNA from 1 species